rnacentral:rRNA from 1 species
AUUCUUGGUCAUUUAGAGGAAGUAAAAGUCGUAACAAGGUUUCCGUAGGUGAACCUGCGGAAGGAUCAUUACCGAGUUCAUGCCCUUACGGGUAGAUCUCCCACCCUUUGUAUACUAUACCUUUGUUGCUUUGGCGGGCCGCCUAGCUACUGGCUUCGGCUGGUAAGUGCCCGCCAGAGGACCCAAAACCCUGAAUUAUUAGUGUCGUCUGAGUAAAAUAUUUAAUAUUUAAAACUUUCAACAACGGAUCUCUUGGCUCUGGCAUCGAUGAAGAACGCAGCGAAAUGCGAUAAGUAAUGUGAAUUGCAGAAUUCAGUGAAUCAUCGAAUCUUUGAACGCACAUUGCGCCCCUUGGUAUUCCGAGGGGCAUGCCUAUUCGAGCGUCAUUAUCACCCCUCAAGCCUAGCUUGGUGUUGAGGCCUGCUGUAAGGGCAGCCUCUAAGAUCAGUGGCAGUGCUGUCAGGCUCUAAGCGUAGUAAAAUUCAUCGCUAUAGACACCUGGUGGACACUCGCCAGAACCCCCCCAUUUUUUAAUGAUUGACCUCGGGUUAGGUAGGGAUACCCGCUGAACUUAAGCAUAUCAAUAAGCGGAGGAAAA